UGAGGAGUGGUCUCUCUCUCUCUCUGCUGGACUUUGUCAAAACUCAAAAGUGUUGGAAAAAAACAAAGUUUAGAACCAAAUUUUACAGAAAUGCUUCAUGCCUGAUCCUUUCUGAUCAGUUUUUCAAGAGGAUUAUGGAGAUUUAUGAGGAAUAAUUAGAAGAUGAAGACUAUCAGGAUGAUUUUAAAAAUCUCCAUCACCAGUGGGCAUUCAUGAGCCAGAAAGAACCCAGAUUGGCUUCAGAUUCCAGAAAGUUUACAAGCAGUUUAUUGUGAGCCCUGCAAACUGAAGAAAUUUGACGUAGACGUAAUGACAAGCAUGGACUCUCACUACCAAGCCCCACCUCAAAAGUCAACACUUGCCUCCCCCAACUCCACCUUGCUGGUAACAUUGUUACAAGUGCCUGACGGAGAGGGAAGUAGUUUCAUUGAAAUUUGACAUCAGUUUCCAUGACAGCAGAAUGAUGUCAAUCACACAUGUGCAGGAUGUACGAGAAAAACAGUGGAGAGGGUGGAAGUGAGGAGAGUACUUCCUGGCUAAAAUGAAAACAAGAGUACUGUGACAUGAUCAAGCAACACAGAGACUGGCAGGAGAAACAUCUUCAGCCAAAUGAGAUCUGGUGCAGAUAGCAUGCAAAAGGAUUAAAAGGAAACAGACAUGAGG